CCUCCUGUAAGUCCUCGCGUUGCACCCCUUGGGUGCGAUCAUACCAGCASUAAUGC
rnacentral:rRNA from 1 species